rnacentral:rRNA from 1 species
AUGUACGCAUCCGCCUCCUCUUCCCCCCUCGCACCUCAGCCGCCCUUCAGCGGCAGCCACCUCGCCGCCCAUCCAAUGCCCACCAUGAGGUGUUGUGGAGGAAGCUGGGCAAGAAGCAGCACUUCGAGGAAGCCAUCGCUGACCUCGCUGCCAUGCUCCACGACCACUACGACGGCGCCUCGCCCGCCCUCCACGAGUCGCAGUGAUGCAAAAUUUGGGGCCCCAAAUCUUAUGGCUGUGGAAAGCUGGAAAAUUUGUCUGUCCUAUCAAGAUGAGAAUCAACAACAUAAAGUUCUAGAAGGAUUCAUGGAUAGGAAAGGUAUCUCCUUUUAUGAGUUAGUCAAAUUGAUUGAAGAAGUUGUCUUCUCGCCGGCAUAUGAUUUCUUCUACCACAGGAAGAAAUACCCACGUGGCAGAGGCUAUUCUGACAUUGCUUCUGACCAUGAAAUAUUUUGUGUUCAGUCUUCCUCUGAAAGUUAG